rnacentral:rRNA from 1 species
AUUGAACGCUGGCGGCAUGCUUUACACAUGCAAGUCGAUCGGUAACAGGCCGCAAGGUGCUGGCGAGUGGCGAACGGGUGAGUAAUGCAUCGGAACGUGCCCAGUCGUGGGGGAUAACGCAGCGAAAGCUGCGCUAAUACCGCAUACGAUCUCUGGAUGAAAGCGGGGGACCGAAAGGCCUCGCGCGAUUGGAGCGGCCGAUGUCAGAUUAGGUAGUUGGUGGGAUAAAAGCUUACCAAGCCGACGAUCUGUAGCUGGUCUGAGAGGACGACCAGCCACACUGGGACUGAGACACGGCCCAGACUCCUACGGGAGGCAGCAGUGGGGAAUUUUGGACAAUGGGGGCAACCCUGAUCCAGCCAUUCCGCGUGAGUGAAGAAGGCCUUCGGGUUGUAAAGCUCUUUCGGCAGGAACGAAACGGUGGUUACUAAUACUAGCUACUAAUGACGGUACCUGAAGAAGAAGCACCGGCUAACUACGUGCCAGCCGCCGCAGUAAGAC